UGGCUGAGAAUUUUCUGGAUUGCUUGA
rnacentral:piRNA from 2 species